rnacentral:rRNA from 1 species
ACGUAGGAGACAAACGUUAUCCGGAGUCACUGGGCGUAAAGGGCGCGUAGGCGGCUUUUCAAGUCGGGCGUGAAAUCUCCGGGCUUAACCCGGAAGGGUCGUUCGAUACUGUUGAGCUAGAGUGUGGAAGAGGCAACUAGAAUUCCGUGUGUAGCGGUGAAAUGCGUAGAUAUACGGAGGAAUACCUGAGGCGAAGGCGGGUUGCUGGGCCAACACUGACGCUGAUGCGCGAAAGCCAGGGGAGCAAACGGGA